UGUGUUGUUAUUAACUUCUUCUAUCUUCUUCUUUGUUCGUGCUUCUGAGUUGGUUGUUAAAUUUGCAUGCGAGAGUUAGGGAAGAGUGAUGUGAGCUUCUGCGAGAGUGAAUUGAAUUGGGUUCAAUUCAAAUUCUGUUGAGAAAGGGAAUUCUUGGUGCAUAGUGAAUUGUGAGGGAGAGAAAAUGCAAGUGUGGUGAGUGUUCAAUUUAUAGAAUGGAAAGAGUGAGGUUAGUUUAGGAAUUCAAAUGGGAGGUUAGUUAGGUCGAAAUUCUGUUAUGAAAACUGUUAAGGACUGAUGUAGUUAAAUUAGUUAGUUGGUGAGAAUAGUUAGUAGUAGUUUUUUUGUUCAGUUAAGAUGCCUAAAAUUAAAUCAGUUAAAUGCAAGUUUUGUUAGUUUAGUUUUUCUGUUAUUAUUAACAAUAUUGUCAGUUAUUGGUAUGCUAUUAGUUGCAAAUAAUGGUUAGUAAUAGUUCUUGUAAGUUGUUUAUUUAUAUGAAACUAGCCACCCUGUAAAUGAUUGACUGAAUGUUAGAUGAAUGGUGAUGAAGUUGUCAAGUGAAUAUUGUUGUUGAUAUCACUUAUGGUUAUGAAUAUUGGUGAUUUUCGUCAAAACUCUAUAGUGCUUGCAGUUACAAAAUUCAAUUAACUUGUUAUUUUCAAGUUUC
rnacentral:lncRNA from 1 species